rnacentral:rRNA from 1 species
AUUGAACGCUGGCGGCAGGCCUAACACAUGCAAGUCGAGCGAGCGGCGGACGGGUGUGUAAUGUAUGGGGACUGCACGAUAGAGGGGGAUAACUACUGGAAACGGUGGCUAAUACCGCAUACUAUCGGAUAACCUAUAUGGGCUUAGUUAGUAGGUGGGGUAAAGGCUCACCUAGGCGACGAUCUCUAGCUGGUCUGGGCGGCUGAUCAGCAACACUGGGACGGUGACUCGGCCAGUACGCCUACGGAGGCAGCAGUGGGGAAUAUUGCACAAGGGGCGAAAGCCUGAUGAAGCCAUGCCGCGUGUAUGAAGAGGGCCUUAGGGUUGUAAAGUACUUUCAGCGGGAAGGCGUUACCCGCAGAAGAAGCACCGGAUAACUCCGUGCCAGCAGCCGCGGUAAUAC